GCAUAUUCAGUUCAGUAAAUAAUAUCAUUUCAAGAAGGCAAAUCAAAUCAUAUAUAAAUUGGAAGAAGGAGUAUCAGAGGACACUUGUGUUUGGCUCUUGCUCAUGGCAUGCCCAGGCUAGUGUUAAUUGGCACAUGCAGAUCAAUUUUCAAAAAGCAUCUUAAAAAUAAUGAAAAUAUUAAAACUAAUAAAGAUAUAAAGCAUAAAUACAAAUAAGAGAUAAUAAAAGAAAAAUAAAUUUAUUGAUAAAAAUA